UCCACCACCACUAACAUUCUCGCAUCGUCUCGUCAACUGCUGAUGCUGAUGCAUGUUGUGAUGUCAUAAUGAAGAACAAGACAAAGUUCCAUCUCUGUUAUUGUGACCAUGUUUCAUUCUACAGCAAGUUUCACAUUCACAGUUUCAUUCUACAGCAAACAGUCAGCACGAACAGAAUUACAGAUUAAGAAGAGUUAAUUUAACAAAGCAGCGGAGGAGAUAAGGAGGGGGAGUAGUGUGGAGGUUAUGGAGACAGAGGGAAAGGACGCUGGGCAUCAGGAUGUCUACGAAAGCCUCGAAAGGCAUCAGGAUGGUGUCCCACUUGACUCAAUGCCCGUCACACAACAGGCGGGCGCCCAACAAAUGGAAGAGGAGAUGAGAAAUACCUACGAAAGCCUCGGAAGGGCUUUCAUGGCUCACUUAGAGGCCCAUAGCGGGCACUGUGAGGUCAUUGCCCAGGACACACUGCAACGAUUCACUUCGGAUCAACAUACCCAUUAUCAAAUGGGUGGAAACAUCCAGAAGGGAAAUCAUCUGGUUAUGGAGUUUUUUAAUGGCAAGAGCUUGCAAGAGUACUCCAGAGCGAAGAUGGAGAGAGACCCCUUCAUGAGGAUGGAGAUGAACAAGUGGAGAGCAGAGAUAGAGAGAAAGAGGGAGAUGGAGAGAGAAAGAGCGGAGCUGGAGAGAACAAGGAAGGAGGUGGAGAGAAAGGAGAAGGAAGUGAAGCUAAUAAGAGAGGAGAUUCUAAGAAAAGAGGAAGUGGUGAGGAGGAGAGCAGAGAUGGAGAGGGAGAGACAGGCGAUAGAGAGAAACAGACAGGAGAUUGAGAAAGUGAGAGUGGAGGCAGAGCAAAAAAGAAAGAAACAGGAAAAAAGGAUAGAGCAGAUGGAGAGAACGAUAGCAGAGAUUGUGAGAAUAUGGAGGGACCAAAAGAAAAGGCAGACAAAAAAUGAAAAGGAACAUGCAUGGCUUGUGGAGAGGAGGAGUGCAGAGAUGGAAAGAUACAGAGAAAUGGAGAGGGAGAGACAGGCGAUAGAGAAAAGAAGACAGAAUAUUGAGAAAGUGAGAGUGGAAACAGAGCAAAAAAGAGAGGAAGAGGAAAGAAGGAUAGACAUGGAGAGAGCUAAAACAAAGAUGGUGAGAAAGAGAGAGGAGAUUGAGAGAGUGAGAGUGGAGAUGGAGCGAAUAAGAGAGGAAGUAGAAAUUGAAAUACACAAAGACAUGGAGAAGGAGAGACAUGAAGACCAGAGGCAAAAAGAAAAGGAGAGACAAAAGGGAAGUCGGAAAAUACAGGAGGAGACCUCCCAGCCAUGGAAGUCCAUGGGACUAUCCUUUGAAGACAGUGAGGAUGGAUCAGAAGAAGACUGGAAAGAAACUGAGAAGGAGAUGAAAAGGAGGUGGGAGGCUCUGUCAGGAGACAGCGAUGACAGCGACGGGGUGACUGACUCCGAUGACUUGUGGGAGGAUGAGUUGGAGAGACAGGAAACAGAGAGAAAGAGAGAGGAGAUUGAGAAAGUGAGAGUUGAGACAGUGCAAAAAAGAGAAGAACAGGAAAAAAGGAUGGAGGAGAUGGAGAGAACUAAAGCAGAGAUGGUGAGAAAGGAACAGGAGGAGA
ensembl:lncRNA